GAGUUAACGAUGAUUAUAAAAAAAAUUUCUUGUUCUAACUUGGUCAAUUUGGAUAUGACAGACCUCUUAUUACACCCAUAGAAUUUGAGCCAC
rnacentral:snoRNA from 1 species